GAUGAACGCUGGCGGCGUGCCUAAUACAUGCAAGUCGAGCGAACGGACGAGAAGCUUGCUUCUCUGAUGUUAGCGGCGGACGGGUGAGUAACACGUGGAUCACCUACCUAUAAUACUGGGAUAACUUCGGGAAACCGGAGCUAAUACCGUAUAAUAUUUUGAACCGCAUGGUUCAAAAGUGAAAGACGGUCUUGCUGUCACUUAUAGCUGGAUCCGCGCUGCAUUAGCUAGUUGGUAAGGUAACGGCUUACCAAGGCAACGAUGCAUAGCCGACCUGAGAGGGUGAUCGGCCACACUGGAACGGAGACACGGUCAAGACGCCUAAGGGAGGCAGCAGUAGGGAAUCUGCCGCAAUGGGCGAAAGCCUGACGGAGCAACGCCGCGUGAGUGAUGAAGGUCUUCGGAUCGUAAAACUCUGUUAUUAGGGAAGAACAGAUGUGUAAGUAACUGUGCACAUCUUGACGGUACCGAAUCAGAAAGCCACGGCUAACUACGUG
rnacentral:rRNA from 1 species